CAAGUCAGCAUUUAGUUUGGCUAUUUUGGCUUACAUUUAAAAUUCCAUUUUAAUUCCUGGCAAUUCUCACUUUAUUGAAUAGUUUUGCAAGCAGGGCCGAUCCAAGGGUCACAGACAGCUGGAUGAAGAAUUUGCAAAUGUCCAGUCCAAAAAUGCAUGUUUCUAUGGCAAUGACUCCACCUCUCCAUCUAUAAGCUCCAACUCUUUUUGUAAUCAGACACACACUCACUGACAGUCACACACUCUCACUGAGAUACACACUCUAUCACUGACAGACGCACACACUCACUGACAAUCUGACAUUCGCUCUAACUGACAGACACUCACUCUCACUGAUUGAAACACACUCACUGAAAGUCACAUACUGUCACUCUCUCACUGAGAGACACACACAUUCAAUGAUUUGACACACUAACAGACACCCUCACUGACAGACACACUGACACACACCCUCAAUGACAGACACACAAUCUUACUGAUUUGAAACAUUUCCUGACACACUCACCCGUGCAUCCGCCCA